UGUGGUACAUCAUGGCCCCCACGGCCUCGUUCAGCACCUGAAGGACACGCCAGAGACAACGUCAUCAUCGCUGCUGUCACCGCCCAUUCGGCGGGAAAUCAUUCCUGUCAAGGACAUGACGAGAAUCUUUCAGCUGUAAUCACUUCACUGUUUAUGGGUUUCACUAACGCCGAUGUUUGGCGUGGGGAGCGACCGCCACCAUGUGCACGAGCGCUCCCACCACCGCCCAUUAACCUGCACGUCUCAAGCGUUAGGGUCAACGCACCACUUUCCUGACCAUCCACCAAAAAGGAUAUUUGUUGCACAAAGCAGGAGGCAGCAACUGAAGUUCCACCCCACCCCCCACCCCCCACUCCCGUUUGAAAGUGCUUAACCACAAUCCCUCCAGCUUGGACUGUAAAAUUGCUGCUCAGCAGCUUUAGUGUAUAGACGCUAAAACAAGACAAAUGUUUCCCCGCGCUAUAGCGGAGAACAAUUAUGCUGAAUUUCUAUUACCAGCCUCCACCUCCUCCUUAUUUAACAAAGCCGCACUUCAGCACCCAGCGGAAUUAGCGUCACUGAUGAAACCAUUAUAGCUGCACUGGAAGAGCGGAACGGGCCAGUUGGCAAAAAUAAAACCACAAAAAAAAAAAAAAAA